rnacentral:rRNA from 1 species
CCUACGGGGUGGCACCAGCCCCAAAACCUUUCCAUGGCGGAAAACCGGGUUAAGGAACCACCAAUGGCCACCUUCUUUGGUGGGUGGUCCAAAUGUGUAACCUACUUCGGUUACCAGGGGCCGGGCAAAACCGGGGCCACCCCCCCCGGUAAA